UUGUUUGGACAUGCUCAGUUGUGAUGGUCAUCUUGUUUUCGGAGUCACACUGUAUCCAGAAGGUAAGGAUGGCUCACUCAAAUUUUUCAAUACAUGGUAAAGCAGGUAUUAUUGUUUAAUAUGUCCCAUAUUUCAUGUCUACAGACGACUCUGUCUAAGAACUGGGGGCCGCAGUCAAUGCUGUAUCUGAAGGGCAAAUAUGGCAGAAGAUAUGUACCAGACAGUGAUGACAAUAUUUAUAACUCAGGGUUAAAAAGCUGGUACACAGUUAUUAAAGAAUUCCAGAAGUUGAAGAACGUGGCCGCUGGCAGACCUACACAUUUCUUCACAGAGGAGAAUGUUCUGAUACAUUAUACAGAGUAGGAGGGUGAUUUUUUUUAAGGUAUUAAAAAGAUUUGAUGAUGAUGAUUUAAUUAAUCCAGUGUAUAGUCAGUAAGACCCUGAUUUACAAGGACACCAAAACAAAACACCAAUCAAUACCAGUGUGCGCCAAUUUGUGCAUUUCACGAACUCUGUUUGAUGGUCAGCAUGUAUAUAGUGAGGUUUAGAAGUUUGGGUACCCAUGAAUAAAACACAUUGAUUUGUACA
rnacentral:lncRNA from 1 species